rfam:Morus notabilis contig26607, whole genome shotgun sequence.
AGGCAGCCCCUUUGUUUAAUUCGGUGACAAAGGAGGUGUUGAACUGCUCGUAAAGCGAUUUCUUUUGCUCUUCAGACUUGCUGAGUUGACACUGAAGCUGGUCUAGUAAGCCUAAGUACAUU